ensembl:rRNA 5S_rRNA 5S ribosomal RNA
GUAAGUGCCCAUACCAUCCCCACCAGACAUCUUGAUCUUACAUGAUUUCAGGAACUAAGUAGGGUCAUACCUGACUAGUACAUGAAUGGGAGACUGCUCAGAAUACUGGGUGAUAUAUGCU